CCGUACGUGUCAUCUACAUAGAGUAGAACUAUCCCCUUUUCUCUCUAAAAAGAAAGAACCAUCCCCUACUCUCGUACGAUCCCCACCAGGUUCCUGAGUCCUCAUCCUCGUUUGCCAUUUCUUCCGAUUUGCCGCCGGCAAAGGAAGAUGUCACCAUUGGCCAUCAGGAAAUUAAUACCCAGGUUAUCCCAGAUCUACACGCCGUUUCUUUUCUCUGAGUUUUGCUUCCAUAGGGUGGUGGCGCAUGUGGCUGGGUGAGUGCAGGGAUCUCGGCAACCUCGUCGAGUCUGGAGAAAUGGCCACAGAGAUUGCCAAGGAGAAUUUGGGUUGUGCUGCUUAUACUUGCCAUCGCCGGGUGCUUUGGAUGUUGGUGGCGCGGAGGUAGCUAGGGAGCUCACGGAGCAGGGAUGUGAAGCAGCUUCUGCGGGCAGCUUCUUACUUGUUGUCCUGUUCAUUGUUGGUGUUGUCUGGAGUCCUACCAAAUGUACAACAUCUCAAGCCAGGAAUAAAUGUUUCGUUAGAUGACAGACAUCGAGCAUCUGAGUCUUCAUCGUUAAGCAAUGCCACAAUGGAAGAAGUAUAAUUAAAAUUUAAGACAUUGGUAUACACCAUGCACUUACUAUGGUAUUAGAGAUUCAAUAUCACAGGCGUUUUUACUUGAAAAGGAUUAAAACACACUGCUUCAAAAGGAUAGAAAAAGUAGUUGUCGAUUGAUAAUGUGCACAUGAAGAUUGUAGCUGACAAAAGUGAGUUCAUAUAAUAAUAAUUACUAACCAUGUUGAUUCAGAGGUAGAAAUCGAGUUGCAUGCCACUUCAUAAUUUGGGUUGGCUUCGAUAUUUGCAGAGCGCCAGGUCCAAACAUCUUGCGCCAGUCUGUUGGCUUCAACUGUCCUGGUGGUGGCAUCAUUUCCAGACUGAAGAUGGGCGUGUUUGGCUGCUGGGUGUGGUCGGCCGUGUAUUUUUAUGGAUGAGUUCUGGCCGUGUCCUUAUGGAGUCCUUGUAUGUUUAUAUUUGAGGCAAAUCAGAGAGCUUUAUUCAAACAAAAGCAUUCCCCGGACAAUCAGCUAAAAGACUGGUCACAAGGAAGCUAGGGGUUUCCUCCAGCCAGCAAUCCGUCACAUUCAAGGGGCCACAAUUGAACGAGAGUUGUGGCAGGUUUUCCAGAGCAUCACCAGCUCCAGGCAAUCCACUUCCAUGAUCACAUGCGAGAGUCCCCUUAUGGCAGCAAAACGAACUCCAUCUCGCAGAGAAAAAGCUUCAAUGAUGAGAGGAUCCGAGAUCCCCAUAUACGGCUUGCACCACGAGCCCAGUAGAGCAAUGGCCGAGCGAGCGACGCCUCCUGCCCGCCUCGACCAUCUUCAAAGUUGAGCGCACCAUCCAUGGUGAUCUUAACCACUCCCUCAUCAUGUGGCCGCCAACUGAAGCCUGGCAGAAUCACGGCUGCCUUGCGCGGAAGAUCCAGGAGAGCAAUAGCCUCCUUGGUAGAUCGAAUAGUGGCUGUAGGAUCACGUCCUUCUUUCCCAUGCUUGAUGCGGUUUCGGGAGUGCCAAAUAGACCACAUGAUUGUUUUGAUUUUAGCACAGUCAUUAUCAGAAAACCUUGGGUCACAAAUGAUAUCGCGCGCCCAUGAAUCUGGGUGGAGUCGCGGGAGCCGGAGACCGAACUACGCAUACGCCUCCUCCUAAAAACGGCGAGCAUGGAUCAGUGCAUGCUUCAAAUCCUCACCCAUAGCCAUGCACACUUUGCAGCGAUCUAUGACUGCAAUAUGACGAUAUUUGAGAGUACUUUUAUCUGGGAGAAUGCCACGGAGGAGUCUCCACCAAAAGACUCGCACUUUGGGAAUAACAUUGAGCUUCCAUAAGGCCUUCCACAACUGUUGAUCGUUCCCUGAGGUCUCGGUAGCCGUCCCUUCCUCUAGAGCCAGACGCUCGUUUUGAGUCAUGAGAGCGCGGUACGCCGUCUUCACAGUGUAGUUGCCAGAUUUUUUGAAAGCCCAAGCAAAGGAGACCUCCCCCCCCCCCCCCCCGCCAAAUAGGAAUAUUGAGAAUGGCAUCGGCAUCAGGGGCAAUGAAGGUUUCCCUAACAACAUCUUGUCUCCAGGACAAAUUUUCAGAAUCGAUGAGAUCAAACACUCUCUCGAUGCUUGAAUUCUGUGGUCUCGCGAUCGGGGUCAUGGAGGUAGUACCUGGUAUCCAUUUUAGGUGCCACACAGAUAUAGUGCUUCAUCUCCCACCCGUGCGAUCAGCCCCACACUGAGGGCCUCUCUUCCCGCGAUGAUUGCCUUCCAAGUAGCCGAUGCGGACUUGGGAACCGAAGCUUGCAUGAAAUCUGUAUCCGGGAAGUAUCGCCCUUUCAAAACCCUUGCACACAAGGAAUUAGGAUUAGUCAUGAAGCGCCAUCCAUGUUUGCCCAGCAUUGCAAGGUUGAACAAAUGUAGGUCUCAAAAACUCAUUCCACCCAUGCACUUUGGUUUAGUCAUCUCCUUCCAUGAUAACCAAUGCAUCGAUUUUUUAUCAAGAGAGCUGCUCCAAAAGUAUUUCGUCAUAGGAGAUAUCAGACUCUUGCGCACCUUUUUUGUGAACAGAAAUGUACUGAUCGGGUAGGUAGGAAUAGCCUAAGCUGUUGGCUUAAUAAGAGUCUCACGACCAGCACAUGCAAGCAGCUUUUCCAAUCACCCUUGCAUAUAUCCACGAGUUCUUUCACUGAUAUGAUCGAAAGUACCACUCGUGAUACGACCCACAGCCGUCGACAGCCCUAAAUAUUUCUCACUGAACGCUUCCACUUGGAUAUUCAACGCUGCUUUCAUAACUUGUUUCACUGGAUCAGGAGUAUUUGUACUGAAGAAAAUAGAGCUUUUGUCCCGACUUACUCGCUAUCCGGAAGCAUCACCAUAGAUUCUCAAAAUCUCAUUAAGUUUAAGAGCACUAUGAUCUUUUGAAUCAAUGAAAAUUAGGCUGUCAUCUGCAAAAAGCAGAUGAGAGAUCCACGGUGAUUUAUAGCUUACUCUCAAACCUCUGUCUAAGGUACCUCCAUUAUAAAAUUUCAACAAGGAAGAAAAACCUCCCGCACAUAUUAGAAACAGAUAUGGCGAGGCAGGGUCGCCUUGACGGAUCCCCCUUGAAGGGGUGAAGAAUGGCAGAAGCUCACCAUCAACUCACACCGAAAAGCGAACUGAAGAUACACACUUCAUGAUCAACCUGACAAAGACAAUAUUGAAACCCAGCUUGGACAGAAUUGCUUCGAGGUAGUGCCACUCGAAACGGUCAUAAGCUUUCAUCAUAUCUAACUCUCGUAUGCCACAAGCACAUUAUCACUAAUAAGGCGACCCGGUACAAAGGCGCUUUGUUCCUCACUGAUAAUCUCAUCCAUGAUGCAUCGCAGACGGUUGGUAAUUGCUUUGCUCGCAAUAUUAUACAAAACAGGACAUAAUGCAAUAGGACGGUACUGAGGAAUGGACUGGGGGUGUUUUACCUUCGGGAUUAUGGCAAUAGAGGUGUCAUUCAAACCAGAAGUCAAUUCCCCGCCAUUUAGGAAUUCCAGGACUGCAUUAGUUACUUCUCCACCAAGAAGAUCCCAAUGCCGUUGAUAAAACCCGCAGUGAACCCAUCCACGCCAGGAGCUUUUGAUGGAGCCAUUUGAAAAAGCGCAGUGUAGGGUUUAGUGAGCUCCAUGUUCAUAUCAUCAGAGAUCUUGACAGGAACAUGAUCUAAUAACUCGCUCGCAUCAUGAAAGCCUUCAGACUGGUACAAGUUCUGAUAGAACUGUUGAACUUCUUCCUUAUCCUCGCUCUCAUCCACACAGACCGAUCCAUCAGAUCGUCUGAGCCCUUGAAUUUUGUUCAAUCUCUUACGCUGUCUAGAUUGCGCCUGAAAGUACUUCGUGUUACGGUCCCCUUCACGGAGCCAAGGUACACGUGAUCGCUGUCGAUACCACACCUCCUCCUAGUGCAGUGCCUCCAUUAGCUUCUUAACCGUGCUUUGUUCCGCUUCCAAUGGGUCACGACCAAUGGACAGAGAACGUAGCCGGUCAAGUUUCUUCUGGAGUUGUCCGACCCGUCUCGUCAAACACCCAAACUCCUUGGGUCCCCAUGGUUCCAGAGUUGCUUGAAGUUCCCCCAACGCCGAGGCAAUACCUUGUAGCCCAGAGCCACACUGGAUUCCUCGCCAAGUAUCAGAGACGAGCCGAUCGUAGUCUGAAUGAGUUUGCCAGACAUUUCCAUACCUAAACUGCUUCUUGGCCCUAGAUCGUGACUUGAAAGUUUCUUUGAUUUCUGCAACAACAAAACAGUGGUCGGACUCCACCGAAGACAGAUGUUGUACCCUGAUAUAUUGGAACUGUUGCCGGAAAUUUUCAUUAGCAAAGGCUCGGUCCAGCCUUGCUUUUACAUUGUCCACUCCAGACUGGCGAUUAUCCCAUGUGUAGGCCGUACCUGACCAACCCAGAUCCUGGAAGGAAAUAUCAUUUGUAACCUCUCUGAAGGCUCGCAUUUGUCGCUCUGGACGAGCAGCAUGGCUAAAAUGUUCAUUCGAGUAUAAGGUCUCGUUAAAAUCCCCCAUGCAUAGCCAUGCAUCAUGAGGAAUAGCGUGGAGCGAACGCAAAAACCGCCAGCUAUGAUGCCUUUCUUCAGCACGCGGUGCUCCAUAGAAACUCGUGAAUCUCCAAGGUGGAGAAUUCAGCAGCUUAUUAGUAACCAAAACAUCGAUAUGACGUUGACUGUAAUUCUUAAGUUCAACGGACACAUCUCGGGACCAAAACAUACCAAUGCUGCCACUAAGGCCUGCACUGUCUACGGAAAAACUACCAGCAAAACCCAAACUGCUCUGCAAAUCCUCUACUCUUUUAGCUCUUAUUUUCGUUUCCAUGACAAAGAGAAGAGCGGGGCCUUCAAUCUUCACAGUACUGCGAAGUUCUCGAACUGCCUUGGGGUUCCCAAGCCCCCGGCAGUUCCAGCUGAUGCAACUCAUUGGGACUGGCAGGACCGUGAAGCGGUCUCUGCCGAAUUUUCCGGUGUAGGUUUCUUCUUCUUUGAUUCCCUAACAAAUUCCUCUCCCUCUUCAUGGCUUGUUGAUGCUGUAUCAGUUCUGGCCAGGAUAUUGCCAUCACCACCAGUUUCAGUUCCACCAUCAAUGAGCAGCAGUGUGGUGUUAGCCACAUGCUUGUAAACUUGGGUCGACACAUCUUUCCGUUUCUGCUGCUGCCUAUUCUUCACUGGGGAAUUCACCUCCUCACCCGUAUCUCUCUUGUUACUAGAAUUCUUUGUCGCCUGUUUGCUGCUGGCCCCCGUAUGAUCUCUAAAAGAAUUGUCUGACGACGUCGGCUUUCGGUAGUCCUCAGGUGCCCGCAUCUUAGAUCCAAAAGGGAGCUCUCCCUUCUCAUCUCGUGAUCCCGGUGUUGGGCAGUAAGGAUCCGAGUGUCCCAGCCUACCACAGGAAAAGCAAAAGUAAGGAACCUGUUCAUAUUGUAUGUCAUACAUAUCUUUCGAUAAUCCAAUCCCCAGACGUAUAAUGCACUGACGUUGCACCGUAUUUUGAUUAGCAUUAUGUAUGUCUCCGUGACCAGUGGGCCCUACAUGUCAGAAUAAAGGGAAAGAAGCGAUAAAAACAGACCAAGACAGGACUUGAAUUUACUAAGUCAAGCUAGCUAACGCUUAUCCUAAUCAAUGCACCACUUAGGUUUUCUUGUCAACUAAGGAUAAUGACGCUCUAUAUUAUAAAGGAACACACUUGUGUGCUUUAAAUGGGCUGCUGUCUACGCGGCCCAUGUUGCACGUGAUGGGUUUUUUUUUUAGUAUUUUUAAAAUGUAGGUAAAUUAUCGUCUUAAAAAAUGUACGUAAAUUAUAAUGACAGUAACAGAUAUAAAAUCAAAACAUUCAUAUGUUAAAAAAAAUUAUACAUACAAAAAGUAAUUCAUUUAGAAAAAUGUUCACAUAAUUUUAAAAAUCUUUGACAUCUUAUUUUUCAAAAAAAUCAUAUAAAUAAAAUAAUAUUUAUUAUUAUGAAAAUGUUUGUAUCAUUUAUAAUGAUAC